AGCUUUGCACAGUGGCAGUGUCAUAGCCAAUGAGGUUUCUCCGAGGCGUGAUUAUUGCUAAUUGAAAAGAGUUGAAAUCAUGUUCUCUGGAAUUUAAAUUGGAGAUCAAUAGGAAGAUAUAAGGAAAAUCUCCAAAUAUUUGGAAAUUAACACAAUUUUCAAUAACAAGGAUUAA
rnacentral:snRNA from 1 species